rnacentral:misc_RNA from 1 species
GAUGAAGAACGCAGCGAAAUGCGAUACUUGGUGUGAAUUGCAGAAUCCCGUGAGCCAUCGAGUCUUUGAACGCAAGUUGCGCCCGAAGCCAUUAGGCCGAGGGCACGCCUGCCUGGGCGUCACACGUCGUUGCCCCCCCCAUCUACUCCUUCGGGAUUGCGGGGGGCGGAUGAUGGCCUCCCGUGCGCCUCGCCGCGCGGUUGGCAUAAAUGCCAAGUCCUCGGCGACGCACGCCACGACAAUCGGUGGUUGCGAAACCUCGGUUGCCCGUCGUGUGCGGUCGUCGCGCAUCGAGGGCUCGAAAAAAUUGCCGAGUUCCGGCUCGGCUUUCAACGCGACCCCAGGUCAGGCGGGGUUACCCGCUGAAUUUAAGCAUAUCAAUAAGCGGAGGA